rnacentral:lncRNA from 1 species
UUUUUUUUUCUUUUUUUUUUUUUGGCUUUUUCUCUUUUUAGGGCCGCACCCGCAGCAUAUGGAGGUUCCCAGGCUAGGGGUCCAAUCGGAGUGAGGCCAGGGAUCGAACCCGCAACCUCAUGGUUCCUAGGCGGAUUCGUUUCCACUGCGCCACGACGGGAACUCCAUGAAUAGUAACCUUUAAAUGUUCCAACCACCUGGUUUUUGUUGCAAAAACUCCCAUCUGUCCUGGCUCCUCCUUGACCUCUUCAGAGCAGUCCCUGAGAGCUGUCUGAGAGGCAGUCUCCAGGACUUAAUCCUCAGUUUGUCCCGCGAAUGAAAUUUAUUUUCCAGCUUUUAGGUUGCACAUUUUUUCUUCAGUAGACAAGCCUCUGCGGGAGGCGCAGCCCACAAGCCCUUCUUUCCAGGCCUCCAGGGCAGGGGUAAGGCCUAAUCAACCUCACGACUAUAGUGUCAGCUGAUGGUACCUUCAUUCCCACUGGCAAUAAGUAAUGAUAAAGACAGCGUGCUAAUGUACAUAGAUGCUUCCAUGUCAUUCAGGAUCAUUGCAGAAAAUCUAGGAAGUAGGAUGGUAAUGGACAUUUAUGGCCUGCUUAUCGCAUACCACAGACUAGUCUAAGCAUUGCUCGUCUACCCUUCGAAACAAGGUAACAUGGUAAGAUUGAGGUGAGAGCUAGUACUGUUACCCUCCCCCUUUAAAGAAGGGAUCCAGGUUACCUAACUUGUCCAAAGCGCCAUCACUGAUAAGUGGGAGCUGGGGCUUGAACCCAGGCAGUCGGGCCUGAGGUGGCCCACUGUCAGGCCCCUGCCAAGUGUGGAAGAAGAAUCUGGGAGAGAUUUGAAAGAAGAGUUCUUUUUUUCUUUUUCUGCUGUGGUUUUAUUCUGAUUGCAUCGUCUGUUUCCUUUGAAAUUUACAAUUAUUAUGAUAUGAUAUAAUUAUAUGUAGGGAACACAACUGAAGAACUGAUGCUGCCUCUGAAAACUGGUCUGGAAUAUCUGUGGGGGGGGGGACUCAAAUUGAGAAAUGACUGAAUGUACAGCCAGUGACAGCUGUUCUUUUUAGGAAGUUAAAUGGAUUUUGGUCUUCGCAAAGAGUUUCUCCUUCCUGAGGAAAUGUAUCCUGUUUGCUGUGUGUUCUAAGGCAAAGUUUGUGCAAGUGAUGACACCCAAGACAGGCCUGAUGUCCCCCAAACAAAAGGCCAGGUCAUUAGGCAUCACAAGUUUUUCUAUUUUUCCCCAUAUUCAGAUUGUAACCCAAACUUAUCAUUUUGACUUCCCUCACAAUUAUCCAUUUCUCCCCAUUUCCCUGCCUCUCCUCCAGGAGCCUCUCAUCCUUGUGUCCCUGGCGUGGCAUCGGAACAGCCUCCUUUAGGCUAUGCUCUUGCCCUGGCCUGCCCUGCUCCAAACUGACCCCUAGGGGUAGUUUCCUGACCUGUGUUCACAUCCCCUCCUGCUUCUUAAACCUUCCAGCACGGGCUACAACCAGCAGCCUUGAGGGCAAGGGCCUCUGGUUGGCCUUCGGAGUGCCAUAGUUUGGAACAUGUACUAGCUACCAGCACACGUCUGCCUCCUCCAGGUAACCAAAGCUGUAGCCACAAGGCUUUAUCAUUCCUCAUGUGUAUCACUCUCCUUGCCGCCCCUUCCAGACCAUUGUACACUCUGUUCCCUCCACUAAGAAGCCAUUAAUCUCACUUCCAACCUCACUGCAACCUGAGGAGACAGCCAUCAUAGCACAGAGUUUAAGACAGAAGGCUCUGGAGUCAGACUGCCCAGGGUCACAUAGGAGUCAGGGGCUUAGAAGGCCUGUGCUUGGUCUAACAGUCUGCCGCCGCCAUCUUGAAAUUCUUAGCCAUUUUGACAAGGGCACUGGGCUCACAAACUAUGUAUGUUUCCUGAUUCGAAUACUGACAGGCGGUGUAACUAAAAUAAAGAGAAUUGUGAAGGGCUGAGAACAGGGUGGAUGACACUGGGAGUGAUCAAUAAAUGGGACUUACCAUUAUCUUCAUGUCACACAUGAAGAAACAGAGGCCCAGGGAGGAGUUGCAGAGGGCCCCAGAGCUGUUACGUGAUAGACGGUGAUUUCGCUAAACCCACUGAACCUCUGGUCAAUUAAUCUAUGAAAAAGGAGGCAAAAAUCUACAAGGCAGAGAUGAUGGUCUACUCAAUAAGUGGUGCUGGGAAAACGGGGCAGCUACAUGCGAAAGAAUGAACUUAGAACAUUCUCUAAUAGCAUAUGCACAACAAUAAACUCAAAAUGGAUUAAAGACCUAAAUGUAAGACGCAAUACCAUAAACCUCUUAGAGGAAAACACUGACAGACCACCUUUUGACGUAAACCACAGCAAUGGCUUUGGAUACACGUCCUCGAGUAACAAAAAUAAAAAUAAACAAAUGUGACUUAAUUAAACUUGAAAGGUUCUUAACAUUUUUUUUUCUGUUUUAUUUUUUAGAAGUUUUUUGUUUUUUUUUGUUUUUUUUUGUUUUUUUGCAAGGGCCACACCCAUGGCAUAUGGAGCUUCCCAGGCUAGGGGUCUAAUGGGAGCUACAGCUGCCAGCCUGCACCACAGCUGGGGGUGCAACCGACACCACAGGUCACAGUGGCCCUGGAUCCUUAACCCAUUCAGCGAGGCCAGGGCUUGAACCCGCAACCUCAUGGUUCCUAGUCAGAUUCGUUUCCACUGUGCCACAACGGGAACUCCAGAAGUUUUUAACAUUUUUUAUUAAAGUAUAGUUGAUUUACAAUGUUGGACUAAUUUCUGAUGUAGAGCAAAUGACUCAGUGAUACACAGAUAUACCUUCUUUUUUAAAUAUUCUUUUCCAUCAUGGUCUAUCCCAGGAGACUGGUUAUAGUCUCCUGUGCUGUACAGUAGGACCUUGCUGUUUAUUCAUUCUAAAUGUAACCGUUUGCACCGACUAACCCCACACUCCCAUCCAUUCCACUCCCUCCGCCCUGCCCUUUCACAACCACAAGUCUGUUCUCUGUCUUUUGAGUCUGUUUCUAUUUUGUACAUAGGGUCAUUUUUGUCAUAUUUUAGAUUCCACAUGUAAGUGAUAUCAUAUGGUAUUUGUCUUUCUUCUUCUGACUUACUUCACUUCGUAUGAUAAUCUAAACUUAAAAGCUUUUGGACAGCAAAGGAAAC